UGGUCAAGUUAUUAAGGGUGCAGGGCGGAUGCCUUGGCACUAGGAGCCGAUGAAGGACGUGAUAAGCUGCGAUAAGCUUCGGGGAGUUGCACGUAAACUUUGAACCGAAGAUUUCCGAAUGAGGAAACUCACUUAGAGUAAUGUCUAAGUAUCAUUAAGUGAAUACAUAGCUUAAUGAGGGGAACUCAGGGAACUGAAACAUCUAAGUACCUGAAGGAAGAGAAAGAAAUUCGAUUCCGUAAGUAGCGGCGAGCGAACGCGGAUUAGCCCAAACCAAUAAAGUUUUCUUUAUUGGGGUUGCGGACAUAUCAUAACG
rnacentral:rRNA from 1 species